GAGUUUGAUCAUGGCUCAGGAUGAACGCUAGCGGCAGGCCUAACACAUGCAAGUCGAGGGGUAACAUAGAAAAGCUUGCUUUUCUGAUGACGACCGGCGAACGGGUGCGUAACGCGUAUACAAUCUGCCUUCAAGCGGGGGAUAGCCCAUGGAAACGUGGAUUAAUAUCCCAUAGCAUAUAGAUAUCACCUGGUAUUUAUAUUAAACAUUUAUGGCUUGAAGAUGAGUAUGCGUCCUAUUAGCUUGAUGGUGUGGUAACGGCGCACCAUGGCUACGAUAGGUAGGGGUCCUGAGAGGGAGAUCCCCCACACUGGUACUGAGACACGGACCAGACUCCUACGGGAGGCAGCAGUGAGGAAUAUUGGACAAUGGGCGAGAGCCUGAUCCAGCCAUGCCGCGUGCAGGAAGACUGCCCUAUGGGUUGUAAACUGCUUUUACAGAGGAAGAAACCUCCCCACGUGUGGGGAGCUGACGGUACUCUGCGAAUAAGGAUCGGCUAACUCCGUGCCAGCAGCCGCGGUAAUACGGAGGAUCCAAGCGUUAUCCGGAAUCAUUGGGUUUAAAGGGUCCGUAGGCGGGAUAAUAAGUCAGUGGUGAAAGUCUUCCGCUCAACGGGAGAACUGCCAUUGAUACUGUUGUUCUUGAAUUAGUAUGAAGUGGUUUGGAAUGAGUAGUGUAGCGGUGAAAUGCAUAGAUAUUACUCAGAACACCUAUUGCGAAGGCAGAUCACUAAUACUCAAUUUGACGCUGAGGGACGAAAGCGUAGGUAGCGAACAGGAUUAGAUACCCUGGUUAGUUCUACCGCCUUGUAAC
rnacentral:rRNA from 1 species